rnacentral:rRNA from 1 species
UGGACUUUGAAUUUGCUUGUGUAGGAUAGGUGGGAGGCUUUGAAGCAGGAACGCUAGUUCUUGUGGAGCCAACCUUGAAAUACCACCCUGAUCUGUUUGAGGUUCUAACCUUGACCCAUUAUCUGGGUCGGGGACCGUGCAUGGUGGGCAGUUUGACUGGGGCGGUCUCCUCCUAAAGAGUAACGGAGGAGCUCGAAGGUACGCUAAGUACGGUCGGACAUCGUACUGAUAGUGCAAUGGCAUAAGCGUGCUUGACUGCGAGACUGACAAGUCGAGCAGAGACGAAAGUCGGCCUUAGUG